AUGGCUCGUGGACAGAACAAGAGAGACGUCACCACCACAAAACAACAACAAUAACAAAAGGAGUGUUGUCCUUUACAAAGUACUAUUGUUGCAAAGAAAGAAAUUAACCAAAAAUAAUGCAAUCCAUGUUAAACAUUCGUCAUGGUCUUCCUCUUUGUCUUUCAGGGAUCAUGCACCCUCUUCCUCUUUCUCAUGAGAUGGUAGAUCAUGAUCGUAGGAGAAAGAGCAUGAUGAUGAUGAGGAAGCAAAGAUCAGUUGGAAGAGAAUACUUUGAUGGAGAUCUGAAUGAUAUCUUGUAUGAUCUCAUUCUCUACCACACUUUAACAGCAAAAGCUGCUUAGCUAAUUAUAUUACUUUAUUUAUUUCUUCAUCAAAAUUUCACUACUUUGUGUGUGUUUGUGGACUUGUUGUGAUUGUAUUUAUUCACAUUUCUAGUUGUAUGAAUUAUGAUCCUUUAAAUUAUUUAUUUAUUAUUAUUA